GUCACUUUUAACAUAUUUGUCAUUAUUUUCACUUUGUCCCUAGAUGUCACUUUUGACAUAUCGGCUUCAGAAAUUACUACUAUUUAUAAUUAAUUUUUUUCUGUAGAAACUUGUGACACCUUACCAAUACGCAAUGUCGAGCUCACGAGCACGCAGAAUUAUAUCUCUCGCAUUGGAGAAGAAGCCAGAGCAUAAUGCAUCAGAGCCAAAUCAAGCAUUGAAUUCAGGAUACGAAAUCUUAAAAAUACCUGAAAUACAGUUCGUCGAAGAUGAAAAUGCUGCACCUAAUUUUGACUGCAAUACAAAUUAUAAUACGGCCAAAGAUGCUGACAAUAAUAAACCUUGCACUUCAUUCCCACGCAUUGAGUUUUCACCAGAACUGAAAAACAAUGCUCAAAUGUCGGACUUGGUUAGCGAUAAUGAUGAUGAUUCCGUGAAGGACCCUAACUAUAAAUCUGAUGAUAGCAGUGAUUCUAGUUCGUCAAGUUCUCUUCUGGAUCAAGUGGUAGUUCCUGUUCGGGUUGUAGUAAUAAUUCAAGUUGCAGUGUUUCUUUAUCGAGUUCAAACGUUGUUGGCCAGGCAUUAGACACUGAAUUCGUUAAUAAUCAAGAGGUAAUCAAGAACCAGAAAAUCAAGCAAAAAAUACUCAAGUGUCAGAAAUUCAACUUUUAGACUCUCAUACAGCAAACACUUUAGUAGCAAAUAUUCAAAGUGCAAACGCUCAAGAUACAGCUCCUCAAGCAGGAGGUACUCCGGAAGUAAAUACUCAAAUUCUCAAGCCUAAAAAAAGAGGAAAGAAGCGAGUAGCACUGACAGAAGAAUGGUUAAGCAAAAAAGCGAAGAAAUUACGGAACUCAGGUCAAGCAUACACCUCAAGAUCUAAAUCUCAAACAAAUGUAAAAGCCAGAAGUAUUAGACCUCCUUGUGGUGAUAAAUGCCGGCUGAAAUGCUCUAAUAGAUGAAAAUAUAAGACAAGAUAUUUUCGAAAAGCGCUCAGAAACCUAGAGAACAUAAUAAUGCAUUUUAUUUUUAUACGUCAAUGAUGAUCCAGUCCGCGUAUGUAAAUUUUUCUUUAUGUCUACGCUGGAUAUUAAUAACCGAAUUACAAGAACAGUCGUCGACAAAGUUGAAAUACCCCCCCGUUUGGAUUUUUUUCAGAAAAAAUAUUUUUUUUCGAAUUCGAACUAACUAUACCAGCGGAUUGUUCUCAUCAAGUAGAUCACGAAAAUACCGGGUUAUAAGGGAAUCCGAGCAGAACUAAGAAAUCGAGUAUUUUUUCGACCUCGUUUUUGAGGCCAAAAAUGGGCAUCAAAAAUGUCAUAUCUCGGCUAUCAUAAAAGCUACGACCUUGCGGAUGGUCUCGUUGGAUUCAGAACGACGAAACUAAGACAAAACCGUCGGAAUUUUUCCGAUAGCUCCCACAGAAGCCGAGAUAUCGGCCUUCAAAGUUUGGGUUUUUCCAUUUUUCGGGUAUACCCCCCCGUUUGGAUUUUUUUCAGAAAAAAAUAUUUUUUUUCGAAUUCGAACUAAUUAUACCAGCGAAUUGUUCUCAUCAAGUAGAUCACAAAAAUACCGGGUUAUAAGGGAAUCCGAGCAGAACUAAGAAAUCGAGUAUUUUUUCGACCUCGUUUUUGAGGCCAAAAAUGGGCAUCAAAAAUGUCAUAUCUCGGCUAUCGUAAAAGCUACGACCUUGCGGAUGGUCUCGUUGGAUUCAGAACGACGAAACUAAGACAAAACCGUCGGAAUUUUUCCGAUAGCUCCCACAGAAGCCGAGAUAUCGGCCUUCAAAGUUUGGGUUUUUUCAUUUUUCGGGUAUACCCCCCCGUUUGGAUUUUUUUCAGAAAAAGGUAUUUUUUUUCGAAUUCGAACUAACUAUACCAGCAGAUUGUUCUCAUCAAGUAGAUCACAAAAAUACCGGGUUAUAAGGGAAUCCGAGCAGAACUAAGAAAUCGAGUAUUUUUUCGACCUCGUUUUUGAGGCCAAAAAUGGGCAUCAAAAAUGUCAUAUCUCGGCUAUCGUAAAAGCUACGACCUUGCGGAUGGUCUCGUUGGAUUCAGAACGACGAAACUAAGACAAAACCGUCGGAAUUUUUCCGAUAGCUCCCACAGAAGCCGAGAGAUCGGUCUUCAAAGUUUGGGUUUUUUCAUUUUUCGGGUAUACCCCCCCCGUUUGGAUUUUUUUCAGAAAAAAAUAUUUUUUUUCGAAUUCGAACUAACUAUACCAGCGGAUUGUUCUCAUCAAGUAGAUCACAAAAAUACCGGGUUAUAGGGGAAUCCGAGCAGAACUAAGAAAUCGAGUAUUUUUUCGACCUCGUUUUUGAGGCCAAAAAUGGGCAUCAAAAAUGCCAUAUCUCGGCUAUCGUAAAAGCUACGACCUUGCGGAUGGUCUCGUUGGAUUCAGAAUGACGAAACUAAGACAAAACCGUCGGAAUUUUUCCCAUAGCUCCCAUAGAAGCCGAGAGAUCGGUCUUCAAAGUUUGGGUUUUUUCAUUUUUCGGGUAUACCCCCCCGUUUGGAUUUUUUUCAGAAAAAAAUAUUUUUUUUCGAAUUCGAACUAAUUAUACCAGCGAAUUGUUCUCAUCAAGUAGAUCACAAAAAUACCGGGUUAUAAGGGAAUCCGAGCAGAACUAAGAAAUCGAGUAUUUUUUCGACCUCGUUUUUGAGGCCAAAAAUGGGCAUCAAAAAUGUCAUAUCUCGGCUAUCGUAAAAGCUACGACCUUGCGGAUGGUCUCGUUGGAUUCAGAACGACGAAACUAAGACAAAACCGUCGGAAUUUUUCCGAUAGCUCCCACAGAAGCCGAGAUAUCGGCCUUCAAAGUUUGGGUUUUUUCAUUUUUCGGGUAUACCCCCCCGUUUGGAUUUUUUUCAGAAAAAGGUAUUUUUUUUCGAAUUCGAACUAACUAUACCAGCAGAUUGUUCUCAUCAAGUAGAUCACAAAAAUACCGGGUUAUAAGGGAAUCCGAGCAGAACUAAGAAAUCGAGUAUUUUUUCGACCUCGUUUUUGAGGCCAAAAAUGGGCAUCAAAAAUGUCAUAUCUCGGCUAUCGUAAAAGCUACGACCUUGCGGAUGGUCUCGUUGGAUUCAGAACGACGAAACUAAGACAAAACCGUCGGAAUUUUUCCGAUAGCUCCCACAGAAGCCGAGAGAUCGGUCUUCAAAGUUUGGGUUUUUUCAUUUUUCGGGUAUACCCCCCCCGUUUGGAUUUUUUUCAGAAAAAAAUAUUUUUUUUCGAAUUCGAACUAACUAUACCAGCGGAUUGUUCUCAUCAAGUAGAUCACAAAAAUACCGGGUUAUAGGGGAAUCCGAGCAGAACUAAGAAAUCGAGUAUUUUUUCGACCUCGUUUUUGAGGCCAAAAAUGGGCAUCAAAAAUGCCAUAUCUCGGCUAUCGUAAAAGCUACGACCUUGCGGAUGGUCUCGUUGGAUUCAGAAUGACGAAACUAAGACAAAACCGUCGGAAUUUUUCCCAUAGCUCCCAUAGAAGCCGAGAGAUCGGUCUUCAAAGUUUGGGUUUUUUCAUUUUUCGGGUAUACCCCCCCGUUUGGAUUUUUUUCAGAAAAAAAUAUUUUUUUUCGAAUUCGAACUAACUAUACCAGCGGAUUGUUCUCAUCAAGUAGAUCACAAAAAUACCGGGUUAUAAGGGAAUCCGAGCAGAACUAAGAAAUCGAGUAUUUUUUCGACCUCGUUUUUGAGGCCAAAAAUGGGCAUCAAAAAUGCUAUAUCUCGGCUAUCGUAAAAGCUACGACCUUGCGGAUGGUCUCGUUGGAUUCAGAACGACGAAACUAAGACAAAACCGUCGGAAUUUUUCCGAUAGCUCCCACAGAAGCCGAGAUAUCGGCCUUCAAAGUUUGGGUUUUUUCAUUUUUCGGGUAUACCCCCCCGUUUGGAUUUUUUUCAGAAAAUAUAUUUUUUUUCGAAUUCGAACUAACUAUACCAGCGGAUUGUUCUCAUCAACUAGAUCACGAAAAUACCGGGUUAUAACAGGAUUAGAUCAGAAAUAAGGGAAUGAGAGCACUUUGAAAAUUCGGAAAUUGUCACUUUUUGACCUCGUUUUUGAGGCCAAAAAUGGGCAUCAAAAAUGCCAUAUCUCGGCUAUCGUAAAAGCUACGACCUUGCGGAUGGUCUCGUUGGAUUCAGAACGACGAAUUUAAGACAAAACCGUCGGAAUUUUUCCCAUAGCUCCCAUAGAAGCCGAGAGAUCGGUCUUCAAAGUUUGGGUUUUUUCAUUUUUCGGGUAUACCCCGUUUGGAUUUUUUUCAGAAAAAAAUAUUUUUUUUCGAAUUCGAACUAACUAUACCAGCGGAUUGUUCUCAUCAAGUAGAUCACAAAAAUACCGGGUUAUAAGGGAAUCCGAGCAGAACUAAGAAAUCGAGUAUUUUUUCCACGUAUUGAGAGUCAUUACCUUCGCUUGCAAACUACUAGGGAAUACAUUGAUAGUGGAAAAAAUUUAACCGAUAUAUUUAAUGACUACAAACAAAAAUGUCAAGACAAUAAUCUACCUCACGCAAAUUUAGUGAUGUUCUCAAAAAUUUUUAACACUGAAUUUAAUAUAAGUUUUUUCAUCCCCAGAAAAGAUCGUUGCGAAUUGUUCAAUGCUUAUGAAAUUGCCACAAGGGAUGCCAAGGAAAAAUUGGAAAGCAAAUAUUUAUUGCAUUUAGAAGAAAAAGAUUUAUCAAGAAAUGAAAAAAACCAAGAAAAGGAAAAAGCUAGUCCCAAUGAUGUGGUGUCAGUUUAUGAUCUGCAAGCAGUUCUUCCUGUUCCUCAAGGAACUGUGUCCGUUUUCUAUUACAAUCUAUUACAAAUCAAAAUUGAACUGUUAUAACUUUACCGUGUCUGAAUUAAAAACAGGUUUAACGGAAUGCUACUUCUGGCAUGAAGGGCAUGGAAAUAGGGGACCUGAUGAGAUUGGUUCAUGUGUGCUUGAUUUUAUAAAAAAAAAGUUAAGACACUUCUAAAAGUGAAGAUGGGCUUGACUUUAUAUUUAUGCUUAUUACUGUAUAUUUAUGCUCGGUCCAAAUACCCAAAAAUACACUCAAUAACUCAAAAAUAUCUAAUAGCGGGCAUAGUCAGAGUGAAGGAGAUUCUGUUCAUUCAACUAUUGAAAAGGCUGUAAAGAAAAGUUUAAGAUCUGGUCCUAUCUACGUGCCUAGUCAGUAUGCACAAAUUAUUCUUACAGCAAAAAAAAAGGAAAGAACGCUAUCAUGUAAAUGAACUCGGUCAUCCGGAUUUUUAUUCACUUAAAACACUGUGUGACGAGAUAGGUAUGACGGGCUUUAAAUCCUUAAGAUUACCGAAGUAAAGGUUUUUAAGUUAAAUCAAGAUAAUCCGACCACUCUUUACUAUAAAACAUCCUAUAAAGAUGAAGACUUUAAGCAAGUAGAUUUAUGCAGAAGAAAAAAAAAUAUUAAUAUACCAAAUACUCUACAACAUGCCUACAAAAGUGAACUUAGCAUUAAAGAGAACAAGAAAAAAGAUCUAUUAAAUUUGUUACAUAAUAAUCACAUUCCGAGUUGUUAUUCAGUAUUUUAUAAUUCUUUGUAAUAAAAAAAUAUUUUUUUUUUAAA